GCGACUUUUCAAAGCUGAUAAAUAGAAAAGGGUUCCUCAUGAUGACGGACAUGGGACAAGGAUGGAUGGUUAGGGAUAUUGGUUAUUUUUACUUCUAUUUCUAUUUUCCUUGAUAGCAUCACCUUCUUCAUUUGGAUUUUUGUGAUUUGACCUUUUCUUUUUCUUGUUUUGGAUGUUCUUACUUACUUAGCUUGCGUACUUCCAUUAACUACGCAGUCGCUUGCCGUUGCUGGAGAUGACGCUCAUUCAUUGGCGGUAUCACAGAUACUAGUAGUUAUCUCUAUAUACUCUCAUCAGUGAAAUGGUGCUGAUCAAACUGGGCUCAGUUAUUUAGUCAAAUUGAUGUAGAAUCGAUCAAAAAAGGAAUUCGCAACGGAAAAAAAGAUUGAAAAUAAAUUGCCCCCAAAUAAAUUUUAAAGGAAAAGGCCAACGAGAGAGACCAAGUCCA
rnacentral:sRNA from 2 species